GGACUACAGGGGUAUCUAAUCCCGUUCGCUCCCCUGGCUUUCGCGCCUGAGCGUCAGAUGCCUCCCAGGACACUGCCUUCGCCUUAGGUGUUCCUCCAGAUCUCUACGCAUUUCACCGCUCCACCUGGAAUUCCAUGUCCCUCUGAGGCCCUCAAGUCCCCCAGUUUUCGCACGCCUCUCCCAGGUAAGCCGGGAGCUGUCAGUGCGAACUUGGACGACCGCCUGCGCGCGCUUUACGCCCAGUAACUCCGGACAACGCUCGCCCCCUACGUAUUACCGCGGCUGCUGGCAC
rnacentral:rRNA from 1 species